rnacentral:rRNA from 1 species
UACGGGGGGUGCGAGCGUUGUCCGGAAUCACUGGGCGUAAAGGGCGCGUAGGUGGUCUGGUAAGGCUGUGGUGAAAGCCCGGGGCUCAACCCCGGGUCGGCCAUGGCGACUGCGAGACUUGAGGACUGUAGAGGCAGGUAGAAUAUCGGGUGUAGCGGUGGAAUGCGUAGAGAUCCGAUAGAAGACCGGUGGCGAAGGCGGCCUGCUGGGCAGUUACUGACACUGAGGCGCGACAGCGUGGGGAGCAAACAGG